rnacentral:ncRNA from 1 species
AGCUCAUCCAGAGGGGCAGAGGGAAACGGCCCGAUGAAGCCCCGGCAACCCUCCAGUCGGUUCUCGUAGAUCAGUGAUGAUCGUUUUCGCGAGGCUCCCGGCUAGGGAAGGUGCCAAAUCCGUCUCACGGCGAAACGCGUCGUGAGGAAGAUGAGGA